ACAACAAAGGUAAAAUAGAAUCUCAGUUUAUACACAUUCAGUUAAUUGUCCACAUGUACAUCCAGUCUAGCUUAAACACGUGUACAUUAAGGGUUUAGUGGUACAUGUGUGCAACCACAAUUGUACACAUGUACAGAAACAUAUCUUGUCCACUUUCACAUACCUCUGUUUUUCGUGCGUCUUCCUCUUCGUUCUCAUCACGCCCCCCACCCUCAGUCUCCCUAAGCUUUCCCUCCUGUCCAGUAGCAAAUGUUUGAACACAAAUUAACACCUACUGAACUGCCGCAUAAUUGAUCAAACAGAACUCCGUCUUAAUUCUAACCAUACCUCACUGCUAAUUUCGUCUAAAUCUGUCCCCCGAUCGGACAGGCUUCCUUGGGAUCGGCUCUCCUGCACAGCAUCAAAUGUUUGUACAUCAAUUGUCCACAUGUACAGAUACACAGUUUCUCCACGUCAACAUACCUCCAUGUUUCUUGCGCCUCCCUCUUUCUUCUCCUCAAGCCCCCCGCACUCAGUCUCACUAGCCUUGCCCUCCUACACAAUAACAAAUGUAUGCCCGCAGGUUAGCACCUAAAUCAUCUACUCGAAUAUGGACAAACGUACAAGAUGUACCCAACGCUCUUCCACACUGACCUUAACUACCCUCUUCCACCACGUGAACAACUUCUCAACACCGUACACAAGUCUAAUUCAGCGUGGACAUUCUAAACAUUCUAAACACAUGGACAUUCUAAACGUACACACCUGGACUCUCUAAAUAAACACGUGGACAUUCUAAACAUUCUAAACGUACACACGUGUACAUUCAGCUCUAAUCACCAAACGUGUGCAACCAAAAUGUCCACAUGUACCAAAAAAUAUCUUCUCCACUAUAACAUACCUCUCGGGCUUCUUCCUCUUGCUUUUCAUCACGCACCCCACCCUCAGUCUCCCUUAGCUUGCCCUCCUGUCCAGUUGAAUAUGUUUGACCACAAAUUAACACCUGCUAAACCUCCUC
rnacentral:lncRNA from 1 species